CCAAGUCUUAAUCUAACUAUAGGCCAAGUCUCAAUCAAACUAUAGCCCAAAUUGAAUUGGAGGUGCCACUCAGAAGAUGUUUCAUUUCUGGUUGAGUGAGGUAUUUUUUUGAUCGGGAAAGCAACUCUUGUUGGAGAAAGAGAGAGAGAGGAAAGAAACUGUUGAGAGAUUGAAAGUUGAAGAGGGGACUGUAAGAGAGCAACAGUGAUUUUAGGAGAGGUGUGUAUAGAGGUAGUAGAUAACAGUGAUUGUAGGAGAGGUGUGUAUAGAGGUAGUAGAUAACAGUGAUUGUAGGAGAGGUGUGUAUAGAGGUAGUAGAUAACAGUGAUUGUAGGAGAGGUGUGUAUAGAGGUAGUAGAUAACAGUGAUUGUAGGAGAGGUGUGUAGAGGUAGUAGAUAACAGUGAUUGUAGGAGAGGUGUGUAGAGGUAGUAGAUAACAGUGAUUGUAGGAGAGGUGUGUAUAGAGAUAGUAGAUAACAGUGAUUGUAGGAGAGGUGUGUAUAGAGGUAGUAGAUAACAGUGAUUGUAGGAGAGGUGUGUAUAGAGGUAGUAGAUAACAGUGAUUGUAGGAGAGGUGUGUAUAGAGGUAGUAGAGACUCUGCUACUCUGCUGUAUUAGCCUUUACCUUUCUCUCUUGAGUUUUAGCAGGGAAAAACAGAUGGCUAGAUGGAUUUGUUUUUAAGGAGAGGCAAAGAAGGUCUAACAUGUGGUAUAUGGAGAUUUACUCAUUCCAACUCAGCCAUCUAACAUGUUGUACUGUUUCUCUCUGCCUCUCUCUCUCCCUGUCUUUCUUUGCUCUGUUUGUCUCUGCCUCUCUCUCUCCCUGUCUUUCUUUGCUCUGUCUCUCUCUGCCUCUCUCUCCCUGUCUUUCUUCACUCUGCGUGUCUCUGUCUCUGUCUGUCUCUCUGAUUCUUUCCGUCUCUCGCUCUCUCUGUCUCUCUUUGCUCUGUGUCUCUCUGCCUCUGUCUGUCUCUCUGCUUCUCUCCGUCUCUCGCUCUCUCUGUCUGCCUCUCCCUGUCUCUCGCUCUGUCUGUCUCCCUCUCUGCCUCUCUCCCUGUCUCUUGCUCUCUCGGUCUCUCUAUCUCACUCUCUCACUGUCUCUCUCUCUGCCAAGCUGAGCUUUUUUGUCUCCCUCACUGUCUCAUCCCUUCCUUCCCUGACACUCAGUCUCCUGAAUACUCUUCAGAGUAUGACUGUUGGAACAUUAGUUGUGCUAUUGUUAUUGAAGGGCUUCUCAUGGUUAAGAUGUUUUUUGACCUGCUCUCAUAUAAAUACGGUCUUCUGGUGCAGAACUGUUUACGUUAUAUAUAGGUGUUAAGGAUGUUGACUCCCCAAAGCUGAUUAUUCUUUAAAAUAAUUCCAGAAGCAUAGUCUUGGACUAUGAAGCACUUUAAAUGGAGAAUCUCCAUUGAACAUGUCUUCUAGUCUAGGACUGAGAUGAAUCUGUGUCCAGGAAACCAGCCCAUGAUGUGAUUCCCACUGUUCAAGAUAAUCCCUAACCAUGUGGCCCUCAGCAUCCCAUCACCCCUCCGUAAAUGACUGCACAGACCCACUCAUCAAGGGUUCAUCCUAUUCACACUGAGCUCUAUCCAGAACAGUGGACCAAUCCCUGGGACUAAUGUUGAACAUUCAUUAACCUUCCUGAGAUCCUCUAUAUCAAGCUCAGCUGUCUGCCAAAAAAAACACACACACACACACACCCUGCCCUGAAGCUAAUCAUAUUUUGUUAGAGCGGAGGAGGAAUAAAUGAUGACAUAUUUACUGCUCACCGAUCUGCAGUGGUUUGGAUCACUAAGUGGACCGUCUUCAUGUUAACCACAGGGUUGAGUGGCGUAGUCACAACCGACAUCUGCACAGAGCCGGUACCAAAUCCCUGCAGCAAGCUACCACUAUCUAGCCUUGUCCCAGGUCUGUUUGUUCUACCACUAUCUAGCCUUGUCCCAGGUCUGUUUGUUCUACCACUAUCUAGCCUUGUCCCAGGUCUGUUUGUUCUACCACUAUCUAGCCUUGUCCCAGGUCUGUUUGUUCUACCACUAUCUAGCCUUGUCCCAGGUCUGUUUGUUCUACCACUAUCUAGCCUUGUCCCAGGUCUGUUUGUUCUACCACUAUCUAGCCUUGUCCCAGGUCUGUUUGUUCUACCACUAUCUAGCCUUGUCCCAGGUCUGUUUGUUCUACCACUAUCUAGCCUUGUCCCAGGUCUGUUUGUUCUACCACUAUCUAGCCUUGUCCCAGGUCUGUUUGUUCUACCACUAUCUAGCCUUGUCCCAGGUCUGUUUGUUCUACCACUAUCUAGCCUUGUCCCAGGUCUGUUUGUUCUACCACUAUCUAGCCUUGUCCCAGGUCUGUUUGUUC